AGAGUUUGAUCCUGGCUCAGGAUGAACGCUGGGGGCGUCCUUAACCCAUGCAAGUCGAACGAAGCGCUUUGAAGUUUUCGGACAGAUGAGUGACUGAGUGGCGGACGGGUGAGUAACGCGUGGGUAACCUGCCUCAUACAGGGGGAUAACAGUUAGAAAUGACUGCUAAUACCGCAUAAGCGCACAGUAUCGCAUGAUACAGUGUGAAAAGCCGAGACGGUAUGAGAUGGACCCGCGUCUGAUUAGCUAGUUGGUGGGGUAACGGCCCACCAAGGCGACGAUCAGUAGCCGACCUGAGAGGGUGACCGGCCACAUUGGGACUGAGACACGGCCCAAACUCCUACGGGAGGCAGCAGUGGGGAAUAUUGCACAAUGGGGGAAACCCUGAUGCAGCGACGCCGCGUGAGUGAAGAAGUAUUUCGGUAUGUAAAGCUCUAUCAGCAGGGAAGAAAAUGACGGUACCUGACUAAGAAGCCCCGGCUAACUACGUGCCAGCAGCCGCGGU
rnacentral:rRNA from 1 species